rnacentral:rRNA from 1 species
CCUACGGGCGGCUGCAGUGGGGAAUAUUGGACAAUGGGCGAAAGCCUGAUCCAGCCAUGCCGCGUGUGUGAAGAAGGCCUUCGGGUUGUAAAGCACUUUCAGUGGGGAAGAAAGCCUUGGGGCUAAUACCCUCGAGGAAGGACAUCACCCACAGAAGAAGCACCGGCUAACUCCGUGCCAGCAGCCGCGGUAAUACGGAGGGUGCGAGCGUUAAUCGGAAUUACUGGGCGUAAAGCGCGCGUAGGCGGUCUGAUAAGCCGGUUGUGAAAGCCCCGGGCUCAACCUGGGAACGGCAUCCGGAACUGUCAGGCUAGAGUGCAGGAGAGGAAGGUAGAAUUCCCGGUGUAGCGGUGAAAUGCGUAGAGAUCGGGAGGAAUACCAGUGGCGAAGGCGGCCUUCUGGACUGACACUGACGCUGAGGUGCGAAAGCGUGGGGAGCAAACAGGAUUAGAUACCCCAGUAGUC